GCUGGCGGCGCGCCUAACACAUGCAAGUCGAACGAGAGAUGAAGAGCUUGGCUCUUCAGAUCGAGUGGCGAACGGGUGAGUAACGCGUGAGGAACCUGCCUCAAAGAGGGGGACAACAGUUGGAAACGACUGCUAAUACCGCAUAAGCCCACAGCUCGGCAUCGAGCAGAGGGAAAAGGAGCAAUCCGCUUUGAGAUGGCCUCGCGUCCGAUUAGGCAGUUGGCGGGGUAACGGCCCACCAAACCGACGAUGGAUAGGGGUUCUGAGAGGAAGGUCCCCCACAUUGGUACUGAGACACGGACCAAACUCCUACGGGAGGCAGCAGUGAGGAAUAUUGGUCAAUGGGCGAGAGCCUGAACCAGCCAAGUAGCGUGAAGGAUGACUGCCCUAUGGGUUGUAAACUUCUUUUAUAAAGGAAUAAAGUCGGGUAUGCAUACCCGUUUGCAUGUACUUUAUGAAUAAGGAUCGGCUAACUCCGUG
rnacentral:rRNA from 1 species